GCCUGGGAUAGCUCAGUCGGUAGAGCAUGAGACUGAAUCUCAGGGUUGUGAGUUCGAGCCCCACCCUGAGCA
rnacentral:tRNA from 1 species